rnacentral:rRNA from 1 species
AUUGAACGCUGGCGGCAUGCCUUACACAUGCAAGUCGAACGGUAACGCGGGGCAACCUGGCGACGAGUGGCGAACGGGUGAGUAAUGCAUCGGAACGUGCCCAGAAGUGGGGGAUAGCCCGGCGAAAGCCGGAUUAAUACCGCAUGAGACCUGAGGGUGAAAGCGGGGGAUCGCAAGACCUCGCGCUUUUGGAGCGGCCGAUGUCAGAUUAGCUAGUUGGUGGGGUAAAGGCCUACCAAGGCGACGAUCUGUAGCUGGUCUGAGAGGACGACCAGCAACACUGGGACUGAGACACGGCCCAGACGCCUACGGGAGGCAGCAGUGGGGAAUGUUGGACAAUGGGCGCAAGCCUGAUCCAGCCAUGCCGCGUGCGGGAAGAAGGCCUUCGGGUUGUAAACCGCUUUUGUCAGGGAAGAAACGCUCUGGGCUAAUACCCUGGGGUAAUGACGGUACCUGAAGAAUAAGCCCGGCUAACUACGUGCCAGCAGCCGCCGUAA